AUUCUAAUAGUUUAAUUAAAAUAUUGGUUUGUGGAACCUAAGAUGUAGUUUUUACUUAGGAUA
rnacentral:tRNA from 1 species